rnacentral:rRNA from 1 species
UACGGAGGGUGCAAGCGUUGUCCGGAUUCAUUGGGUUUAAAGGGUGCGCAGGCGGGACAUUAAGUCAGGGGUGAAAGACGGUUGCCUCAACGAAUCGCAGUGCCUUUGAUACUGGUGUUCUUGGGUGACCUUGAGGUAGGCGGAAUGGGUGGUGUAGCGGUGAAAUGCAUAGAUACCACCCAGAACGUCCGAUUGCGAAGGCAGCCUACUGGAGGUUUAACCGACGCUCGAGGCACGAAAGCGUGGGAUCAAACAGG